GGGAUAUAGGUCAGUGGUAGAGCACUUGUCAAAUGUGUGUGAGAUCCUGGGUUCAAUUCCCAGUAACUGUCA
rnacentral:tRNA from 1 species